UACGUAGGCAGCAAGCGUUGUUCGGAGUUACUGGGCGUAAAGGGUGUGUAGGCGGUUGGGUAAGUGUGGUGUGAAAUCUCCCGGCUCAACUGGGAGGGUGCGCUACAAACUGUCUGACUAGAGUGUGGGAUGGGAAAGUGGAAUUCCUGGUGUAGCGGUGAAAUGCGUAGAUAUCAGGAGGAACACCGGUGGUGUAGACGGCUUUCUGGACCAUAACUGACGCUGAUGCGCGAAAGCUAGGGGAGCAAACAGG
rnacentral:rRNA from 1 species